rnacentral:rRNA from 1 species
UACGUAGGGUGCAAGCGUUGUCCGGAAUUAUUGGGCGUAAAGAGCUCGUAGGCGGUCUGUCGCGUCGGCUGUGAAAACUCGGGGCUCAACCCCGAGCCUGCAGUCGAUACGGGCAGACUAGAGUGCUGCAGGGGAGACUGGAAUUCCUGGUGUAGCGGUGAAAUGCGCAGAUAUCAGGAGGAACACCGGUGGCGAAGGCGGGUCUCUGGGCAACAACUGACGCUGAGGAGCGAAAGCGUGGGGAGCGAACGGG